CCUGAUCCAGCAACGCCGCGUGAGGGAUGACGGCCUUCGGGUUGUAAACCUCUUUCAGCACAGACGAAGCCUUGUUCUUUUGGGUGGGGUGACGGUAUGUGCAGAAGAAGCACCGGCCAACUACGUGCCAGCAGCCGCGGUAAUACGUAGGGUGCGAGCGUUGUCCGGAAUUAUUGGGCGUAAAGGGCUCGUAGGCGGUUUGUCGCGUCGGGAGUGAAAACACCGGGCUUAACUCGGUGCUUGCUUUCGAUACGGGCAGACUAGAGGUAUGCAGGGGAGAACGGAAUUCCUGGUGUAGCGGUGAAAUGCGCAGAUAUCAGGAGGAACACCGGUGGCGAAGGCGGUUCUCUGGGCAUGACCUGACGCUGAGGAGCGAAAGUGUGGGGAGCGAACAGGAUUAGAUACCCUGGUAGUCCACACCGUAAACGUUGGGCGCUAGGUGUGGGAUCCAUUCCACGGGUUCCGUGCCGCAGCUAACGCAUUAAGCGCCCCGCCUGGGGAGUACGGCCGCAAGGCUA
rnacentral:rRNA from 1 species